AAAGCUAGCUUAAUUAAAGAUGCAUGAUAUUAACUGCCCAUCAAAGGGUCGUAGCAUACGAAGAUUAAACGUCUUCAGAUUUAGUUGCUGGGAUCGAAGAACUGAGAAAUUCAGAUCACCACGUAGAAAAGUUUGCUGGCAAUUUGCUACAAGAUGUUUGUUCGCCCCAGUCGCCUCAUGGUCCUUGCUAUUCUCACGGUCCUACUACUGGGCCUGGAAGCUAAGCCGUUGCAUGAAACCUUUGACGUCAGCGAGGAUUUCAACCUGAAUGAAGCGCCACGACACCUUAUGGAAGAAAAGCGCAGCAAAGGAUCCUCUGCCGCGGCAAUACUGCGACGAUUUCAGAAAGCUAAAAGAUGUAACAGAUUUCUGCCUCCGCAAUUUUGUUGAAAGAGACUGAUCACUUACACUUUUAUUGUUAGUCUCUGUAAAUCACCUCAUAAAGUAUCGCUUUAGUCUUAGAUAAUACAAAAGAUAACUAGCAACGAAAAGUAAUACUGUUAGGAAAAAACGCCUGAAACUAGUUGGGUAAAGUCACAGCGGAAAAUUAUUGCAAAAAUUUUAAUUUUUAAUAGGUGUUUCAAAAACUCGGGAAUCUCGAUGUCACAUUCAAUGCCCCAGCUAGGGACCAUGUUCUAUUAUAUUGCUGUAAUUAGAAUACAUAGGAAAGCCUAAUAAUCAAGAAAUAUAAAAGUUAAAUAACUAUCAUUCAUGAACCGCGAGAUUUAAAAGCUGAAUAAAAGAAUGAAUUGGGC